GAAAAUGCCUUGGAGUUCCCUCGUACAUUCUUCUAGCUUUGUAGAGCUCUGCUUUUUCCAUUCAUACACACUUGCCACAUGCAUGAUGUGAGGGUCUUGUCUCUUGUGGCUGCCGUCUUCCUUCCUGUACAUAAAUCUGGUAAGUACAUCUAAACUGGAACUUUACUCCUGCUGUACCAUAUCAAUCCUAUCAACUUCCACUUAUACCCGCUGCAAAAAAUAUAUCCACUUAUGCUCCUGCUAUAUUAGAUUUCCAUUUUCUUCUACAUGGCAGAAAGUAUUUAAGAUUUGCUUCUCAACGCCCCUUGUCUUUCCACAAGUCUGAGAAAACCAACCUGAUUAUCUGCAAGUCUCUCUUAUCUUUGCUAGAUGUAAUUACCAACAUAAUCUGUGAUCACCAUUUGGUUUGGUUCUUUGUACAGGUGUUUGUUUGAUCUUAUAGGUUUCUUCAUAUUCCGACUUCCUAUUUUGGGUGUUACAAUCAAAAUAUCAGUAUGGCAUAAGUAUGGAACAAAUGAGACUUUUGCGUCAAGCUGCUGAUAUUAAGGUGGUCAUUUCUUUCUUCAUAUUCUGCUAUGUUGCUAUCAGUACCAGGUGUUCCUGCAUUCCUAAUUUCUGUUUUCUUGUUUUUCAGGUGUUAUAGCGUUUGUUUGGUAGGCUUUGUAGCCACUUAUGUUUGCAUUUUGUCCAAAACUCAUGAAGACCGAUGGUAUACCUGUAAAGUUCAGUUUUAGGGAUUAAAGGAUCAUCUUUGGCUUAGUUAUGGAAAACAAUGAGUUGUCAGUGUUUUGCUACUGAUAAGGUUUGCAGUUUUGCCAUCCAGUCUAAGUUACUGAUACCAGG
rnacentral:lncRNA from 1 species